rnacentral:rRNA from 1 species
GACGUAGGGUGCGAGCGUUGUCCGGAUUUAUUGGGCGUAAAGAGCUCGUAGGCGGCUCGUCGCGUCGACCGUGAAAACUCCAGGCUUAACCACGGGCUUGCGGUCGAUACGGGCGGGCUAGAGUUCGGUAGGGGAGACUGGAAUUCCUGGUGUAGCGGUGAAAUGCGCAGAUAUCAGGAGGAACACCGGUGGCGAAGGCGGGUCUCUGGGCCGAUACUGACGCUGAGGAGCGAAAGCGUGGGGAGCGAACAGGAUUAGAAACCCCAGUAGUC